rnacentral:rRNA from 1 species
GAUGAACGCUGGCGGCGUGCCUAAUACAUGCAAGUCGAGCGAACGGAUGAGAAGCUUGCUUCUCUGAUGUUAGCGGCGGACGGGUGAGUAACACGUGGAUAACCUACCUAUAAGACUGGGAUAACUUCGGGAAACCGGAGCUAAUACCGGAUAAUAUUUUGAACCGCAUGGUUCAAAAGUGAAAGACGGCCUUGCUGUCACUUAUAGAUGGAUCCGCGCUGCAUUAGCUAGUUGGUAAGGUAACGGCUUACCAAGGCAACGAUGCAUAGCCGACCUGAGAGGGUGAUCGGCCACACUGGAACUGAGACACGGUCCAGACUCCUACGGGAGGCAGCAGUAGGGAAUCUUCCGCAAUGGGCGAAAGCCUGACGGAGCAACGCCGCGUGAGUGAUGAAGGUCUUCGGAUCGUAAAACUCUGUUAUUAGGGAAGAACAUAUGUGUAAGUAACUGUGCACAUCUUGACGGUACCUAAUCAGAAAGCCACGGCUAACUACGU